rnacentral:rRNA from 1 species
GAUGAACGCUGGCGGUAUGCUUAACACAUGCAAGUCGAACGGCAGCACGAGGAGCUUGCUCCUUGGUGGCGAGUGGCGGACGGGUGAGUAACGCGUGAGAAUCUACCUUCAGGUCUGGGACAACAGUUGGAAACGACUGCUAAUACCGGAUGUGCCUUAGGGUGAAAGUUAUUUCGCCUGAAGAUGAGCUCGCGUCUGAUUAGUUAGUUGGUGGGGUAACGGCUUACCAAGACAUCGAUCAGUAGCUGGUCUGAGAGGACGAUCAGCCACACUGGGACUGAGACACGGCCCAGACUCCUACGGGAGGCAGCAGUGGGGAAUUUCCGCAAUGGGCGAAAGCCUGACGGAGCAAUACCGCGUGCGGGAGGAAGGCCUUUGGGUCGUAAACCGCUUUUAACAGGGAAGAAGAUCUGACGGUACCUGUUUGAAUAAGCCUCGGCUAACUCCGUGCCAGCAGCCGCGGUAAU